AAAAAAAAAACAGAAAACAUCGUACAGUCUCUGAUUACUGUGAGGACACGCCCCCUACAUCGACCAAUCAGAGUGAAGGAAGUGAGGGCGUUCUGCAUCCUGUAGAGGGCGAAGCUGAGCAUCUGGCCCUCUCGGUGCCCGCUGGUGGUGAAGCAGGGGUCUCUCAGGAGGCGGUGGAGCCCAGCAGGGUGGCGAGGAGCGGGCAGAGCAGAAGUGCCAGGCUCAGCUGUUAGCGGUUUUGGCCAUGGGUCUGUUUCAUCUUAAAGAUGGAUCACGGGGAAAGCGCUGUGUGCAGGGUUUCUAAAAUCACCAUGGGAAUCCAGGUACAGAUGUGAUCAUUACCCCACAAACCAGUUUCCAAUGAGCAAUGUUGUAUCUACACAUUUUAAGGAAUCACAAUAAUCCACAGAACGGAUUCUUUUUUUUUUACGAACAC